GACGAACCGUGCGAACGUUGUUCGGAAUCACUGGGCUUAAAGGGCGCGUAGGCGGGUGCCCAAGUCCGGGGUGAAAUACUCCAGCUCAACUGGAGAACUGCCCCGGAUACUGGGCGUCUGGAGUGGGGUAGGGGUGUGCGGAACGCUGGGUGGAGCGGUGAAAUGCGUUGAUAUCCAGCGGAACUCCGGUGGCGAAAGCGGCACACUGGACCACGUCUGACGCUGAGGCGCGAAAGCCAGGGGAGCGAACGGG
rnacentral:rRNA from 1 species